rnacentral:rRNA from 1 species
GUCUAUGGCCAUGCUACCCUGAACAAGCCCGACCCCGUCUGAUCUUGGAAGCUAAGCAGAGUCGGGCCUGGUUAGUACUUGGAUGGGAGACUACCUAGGAAGACCAGGUGCUGUAGGCA